CUUGAACGCUGGCGGCAGGCUUAACACAUGCAAGUCGAGCGGGGGAGGUUGCUUCGGUAACUGACCUAGCGGCGGACGGGUGAGUAAUGCUUAGGAAUCUGCCUAUUAGUGGGGGACAACAUUCCGAAAGGAAUGCUAAUACCGCAUACGCCCUACGGGGGAAAGCAGGGGAUCUUCGGACCUUGCGCUAAUAGAUGAGCCUAGGUCGGAUUAGCUAGUUGGUGGGGUAAAGGCCUACCAAGGCGACGAUCUGUAGCGGGUCUGAGAGGAUGAUCCGCCACACUGGGACUGAGACACGGCCCAGACUCCUACGGGAGGCAGCAGUGGGGAAUAUUGGACAAUGGGGGGAACCCUGAUCCAGCCAUGCCGCGUGUGUGAAGAAGGCCUUUUGGUUGUAAAGCACUUUAAGCGAGGAGGAGGCUACCGAGACUAAUACUCUUGGAUAGUGGACGUUACUCGCAGAAUAAGCACCGGCUAACUCUGUGCCAGCCGCCGCAGUAAAAC
rnacentral:rRNA from 1 species